CUCAUUAUUUGUUGUUUCGGGUAAUCAACUUCUUACUUGAAUUAUUACUACACUUGUCCCAUGCUCUUAGCAUGCACACAAUGUUUACCUAUGGUUCUUACUUUGUGAAAUAGAUCAAAUGAACACAUUUCCAAUCAUACUCAUUUCACAACUCCCAAUCCUUUUCACAAGUGAAAGAAUAUCAAAUUCUUGCCACUUAUGGAAUAUGUUAGAUUCUAACAUUUUAUUCAAUGAUCCUUUUGUAAUAUCACCGCACUAAAGUCACAAUUACUAUUGCAAAUGAAAUUACAAAGUCGUUUAUCGGAGAUUGUUACAAGACAAUUCCAAUCACCGCACUAAAGUCACAAUUACUAUUGCAAAUGAAAUUACAAAGUCGUUUAUCGGAGAUUGUUACAAGACAAUUCCAUAGAUGUGAUGUCUCUCACUCAAAGUACAUUCCUUUGAACAUCCUUUUGCAUAAAAGUUUCUAAUCUAGACAUUGAUUCUCAAUAUCCAACUCCCAAUAUGGAAAACUUUCCAUACUUACCAUAUGACAACUCAUUCUCAAUAGAAUCUUAUCUAUUCAUAAUAAUGUCGAUAUGGUCCAUCCAAUAUCAUGCUUCCAACUACUCACAAGCGACCAAUCCUCGUCGAACUUUGGAUUGUCCUUUGAUAGUUGUUUAAUUAUCUUAGUCAAAACCGAUUCUUGUCCUUUUUCCCUCUAAAUGCGCUAGACAUUUGGAAAAUUUUAGAAUGGUCAAAUAUUAUAGCAUUU
rnacentral:lncRNA from 1 species